rnacentral:rRNA from 1 species
AGUAACGCGUGGAUAACCUGCCGCAUGCAGGGGGAGUACCGGCUGGAAACAGCCGCUAAUACCGCAUAAGCGCACGGUGCCGCAUGGCAGAGUGCGAAAAGGAGAAAUCCGGCAAGCGAUGGAUCCGCGUCCGAUUAGCCAGUUGGCGGGGUAAUGGCCCACCAAAGCGACGAUCGGUAGCCGGCCUGAGAGGGCGGACGGCCACAUUGGGACUGAGACACGGCCCAGACUCCUACGGAAGGCAGCAG